rnacentral:rRNA from 1 species
UACGGAGGAUCCAAGCGUUAUCCGGAUUUAUUGGGUUUAAAGGGUGCGUAGGCGGGAUGCCAAGUCAGCGGUCAAAUACGGGGGCUCAACCUGCGUCCGCCGUUGAAACUGGCGUUCUUGAGUGGGCGAGAAGUACGCGGAAUGCGUGGUGUAGCGGUGAAAUGCAUAGAUAUCACGCAGAACCCCGAUUGCGAAGGCAGCGUACCGGCGCCCAACUGACGCUGAAGCACGAAAGCGUGGGUAUCGAACAGG